GACGAACGCUGGCGGCGUGCCUAAUACAUGCAAGUCGAACGCAGUGGGGACGGGUGAGUAACACGUGGGUAACCUCCCAUCAGAGGGGAUAACACUUGGAAACAGCUGCUAUACUGAUAUUGGUGGAUGGACCCGCGGUGGAUUAGCUAGUUGGUGAGGUAACGGCUCACCAAGGCCACGAUGCAUAGCCGACCUGAGAGGGUGAUCAGCCACACUGGGACUGAGACACGGCCCAGACUCCUACGGGAGGCAGCAGUAGGGAAUCUUCGGCAAUGGACGAAAGUCUGACCGAGCAACGCCGCGGGUGUGAAGAAGGUUUUCGGGUCGUAAAGUUCUGUUGUUGGAGAAGCGGUAUCUAACCAGAAAGCCACGGCUAACUACGUGCCAGCAGCCGCGGUAAUUC
rnacentral:rRNA from 1 species